GACGAACGCUGGCGGCGUGCUUAACACAUGCAAGUCGAACGGAAAGGCCCUGCUUGCAGGGUGCUCGAGUGGCGAACGGGUGAGUAACACGUGGGUGAUCUGCCCCUUACUUUGGGAUAAGCCUGGGAAACUGGGUCUAAUACUGGAUAGGACCAUGCUGUAGGUGGUGUGGUGGAAAGAUUAGUUUCGGUAAGGGAUGAGCUCGCGGCCUAUCAGCUUGUUGGUGGGGUAAUGGCCUACCAAGGCGUCGACGGGUAGCCGGCCUGAGGGGGUGGACGGCCACAUCGGGACUGAGAUGCGGGCCAGACUCCUGCGGGAGGGAGCAGUGGGGAAUAUUGCACAAUGGGCGCAAGCCUGAUGCAGCGACGCCGCGUGGGGGAUGACGGCCUUCGGGUUGUAAACACCUUUCAGCCAUGACGAAGCCCUUGUGGUGACGGUAGUGGUAGAAGAAGCACCGGCUAACUACGUG
rnacentral:rRNA from 1 species